UCCCUGGUGGUCCAGUGGUUAGGACUUCAGACUCUCACUGUCCAGGGCCAGGGUUCAAUCCUUGGUCAGGGAA
rfam:Ovis aries breed Texel chromosome 13, whole genome shotgun sequence.